GACGAACGCUGGCGGCGUGCUUAACACAUGCAAGUCGAACGGAAAGGCCCUGGCUUUGUGGGGCGCUUGAGUGGCGAACGGGUGAGUAACACGUGAGCAACCUGCCCUUGACUCUGGGAUAACUUCAGGAAAUCGGGGCUAAUACCGGAUAGGAGCUCCUGUCGCAUGGCGGGGGUUGGAAAGUUUUGGCGGUUGGGGAUGGACUCGCGGCUUAUCAGCUUGUUGGUGGGGUAGUGGCUUACCAAGGCUUUGACGGGUAGCCGGCCUGAGAGGGUGACCGGCCACAUUGGGACUGAGAUACGGCCCAGACUCCUACGGGAGGCAGCAGUGGGGAAUAUUGCACAAUGGGCGGAAGCCUGAUGCAGCGACGCCGCGUGCGGGAUGACGGCCUUCGGGUUGUAAACCGCUUUCACCUGUGACGAAGCGAAAGUGACGGUAAUGGGUGAAGAAGCACCGGCUAACUACGUG
rnacentral:rRNA from 1 species